rnacentral:rRNA from 1 species
GACGAACGCUGGCGGCGUGCUUAACACAUGCAAGUCGAACGGACAGGCCCUGCUUUUGUGGGGUGCUCGAGUGGCGAACGGGUGAGUAACACGUGAGUAACCUGCCCUUGACUUUGGGAUAACUUCAGGAAACUGGGGCUAAUACCGGAUAGGAGCUCCUGCUGCAUGGUGGGGGGUGGAAAGUUUCGGUGGUUGGGGAUGGACUCGCGGCUUAUCAGCUUGUUGGUGGGGUAGUGGCUUACCAAGGCUUUGACGGGUAGCCGGCCUGGGAGGGUGACCGGCCACAUUGGGACUGAGGAACGGCCCAGACUCCUACGGGAGGCAGCGGUGGGGAAUAUUGCACAAUGGGCGGAAGCCGGAUGCAGCGACGCCGCGUGCGGGAUGACGGCCUUCUGGUUGUAAACCGCUUUCUCCUGUGACGAAGCGUGAGUGACGGUAAUGGAUAAAGAAGCACCGGCUAACUACGUG